rfam:Ovis aries breed Texel chromosome 1, whole genome shotgun sequence.
UCCCUGGUGGCUCAGAUGGUAAAGCAUCUGCCUGCAAUGCCGGAGACCCAGGUUUGAUUCCUGGGUCGGGAG